CGGGAAACUGGGGAUAAUACCGCAUGGUCUCGCAAGAGUAAAGGUGGCCUCUGAAUAUGCUAUCGCCAAUAGAGCGGCCCAUGUCCCAUUAGCUAGUUGGUAGGGUAAUGGCCUACCAAGGCAACGAUGGGUAGCUGGUCUGAGAGGAUGAUCAGCCACACUGGAACUGAGACACGGUCCAGACUCCUACGGGAGGCAGCAGUGGGGAAUAUUGCACAAUGGGGGAAACCCUGAUGCAGCAACGCCGCGUGAAUGAAGAAGGCUCUUGGGUCGUAAAGUUCUUUCGACAGGGAAGAAGGGUAGGUUGGCUAACAUCCAACUUACUGGACGGUACCUGCAGAAGAAGCACCGGCUAAUUCCGUGACAGCCGCCGCGGUAACA
rnacentral:rRNA from 1 species